rnacentral:rRNA from 1 species
CAGUAGCCGCGGUAAUACGGAGGGUGCAAGCGUUAAUCGGAAUUACUGGGCGUAAAGCGCACGCAGGCGGUUUGUUAAGUCAGAUGUGAAACCCCCGAGCUUAACUUGGGAACUGCAUUUGAAACUGGCAAGCUAGAGUCUCGUAGAGGGGGGUAGAAUUCCAGGUGUAGCGGUGAAAUGCGUAGAGAUCUGGAGGAAUACCGGUGGCGAAGGCGGCCCCCUGGACAAAGACUGACGCUCAGGUGCGAAAGCGUGGGGAGCAAACAGGAUUAGAUACCCCUGUAGUCCCUGUCUCUUAUAC